UGUAUAGGAGGUCCAGCCUGCCCAGUGACGUAAAUGUUUAACGGCCGCGGUAUUCUGACCGUGCAAAGGUAGCGUAAUCACUUGUCUUUUAAAUAAAGACUAGUAUGAAUGGCACCACGAAAGUUCAACUGUCUCCUAUGUCUAAUCAGUGAAACUGAUCUCCCCGUGCAGAAACGGGGAUAUUAACAUAAGACGAGAAGACCCCAUGGAGCUUUAAACUUUAAGCACCCGCUUUACACCAAACCCCCUAUAGGCAUAAUAUGAAAUCAAGCGAACAUGACCCACUGUUUUCGGUUGGGGCGACCACGGAGAAAAGCAUAUCCUCCGAGACGAAAGGGUGUACCACCCUUAACCUAGAGCCACUACUCCAAGUAAUAGAACCUCUAACGCCAUGAUCCAAUUCUUUGAUCAAC
rnacentral:rRNA from 1 species